ACGAACGCUGGCGGCGUGCUUCACACCUGCCAGUCGAACGCUGAAGCUCAGCUUUUGUUGGGUGGAUGAGUGGCGAACGGGUGAGUAACACGUGAGUAACCUGCCCCCUUCUUUGGGGUAACGCCCGGAAACGGGUGCUAAUACUGGAUAUUCACUGGUCUUCGCAUGGGGGUUGGUGGAAAGGGUUUUUCUGGUGGGGGAUGGGCUCGCGGCCUAUCAGCUUGUUGGUGGGGUGAUGGCCUACCAAGGCUUUGACGGGUAGCCGGCCUGAGAGGGUGACCGGUCACAUUGGGACUGAGAUACGGCCCAGACUCCUACGGGAGGCAGCAGUGGGGAAUAUUGCACAAUGGGCGCAAGCCUGAUGCAGCGACGCCGCGUGAGGGAUGGAGGCCUUCGGGUUGUGAACCUCUUUCGCUCAUGGUCAAGCCGCAACAAUGGUUGUGGUGAGGGUAGUGGGUAAAGAAGCGCCGGCUAACUACGUG
rnacentral:rRNA from 1 species